rnacentral:rRNA from 1 species
UACGGCUCACUUCCAACAUCCCUGUGAAACCGUUGAAGCUUUGUUCUAUAAUAAUCUAGAUUAAGUAAAGCAGAGUUUACGGAACCGGCACCUUAGGGAGCGGUAGCGGCGCGCGAGCUCACCUCUCCUCUUCGCCUCCUCUGACUCUUCCUCUUUCCCCUAGAUCCCAGGGCCGGAGACGGAGGUUUAUAAAAUAUGGUGCUCUACUUAGCGUUCGGCCUAGGGUACGGCGUCUAGAGACCUAGCUGCCGGGCAUCCCAAUUCCUGGGUAGUAAACCCUGGGUGUACCCCGGGUAGUGGUGGUAUCCAUCCAGGGACCUGGUACGGUCGUAAGCCUACGAAUGUAAUCCUUCAGGCGAGCUUGUCGAGCCGCCGUGAGCCUGCUGGUGUGAGGGAGGGUCGGCGGCGGCACGGUGGGUCCCAAGUCCGUCCUCGGCGGCGCGGGGGCCGGAACACGGCGGGCGUCGUACGGCGCGGCGGCACGGUGCUCCCUCGUCCUCCGGGGCACUGGAGCCUUAGGACGGACGGUACGACGCGCGGCGCAGCGGCUCCCUCGUCCUCGGCGGCGGCGGCGGGAAGUAGUGCAGGAGGCGGAGGGAGUGAGGCAGCGGCGCUCGAUGGAGUGGGCGGUCUAGGUGAGCUAGAUCUGUUCGGCGAUGGUGUAGAACGAGUUCCCUUGACCUGACGCACAAACUAGACUCGCAUAGACCUCCACACGAUUUCUGACUUCGUAGUGGUGGCAACAAAGGAGCACGUGGCGUCCGCGAGUAGCUGUACGUUAGAAAAAAAAACGACCCCUGGGUCUUAGACCUCGAGCGCAGGUAGUUGGACUAGCUAUACAAGGAGGAACGUAAAAGCCAAUUUGUAACAGUUCGUGAAGUCGGUGGAGUGAACGGAAACUGAGGGACGUUAGCUCUGGGGUUCUGUGACCGUUCGGACUAAUAUACCUUCGUGUACCAAUUACGAGAUAACGCCAUAUACGUACGUUCCGUGACGAACCUGAAACCUAACCGAACGUAAAUACCCGUACAAAAUUUAUCCCUUCUUUGGAAACUGUACCACGUCCACCCGUACAGGCACCCGUGCUGUUAUCAACUUUUUCCUUACAAGUCCCCAACACGUAAUCGAUGUGAUGUUAGUUCAAGUACGAGGAGGUCUCGACCGAACACCUAUGGCACACUUCGCGCAAGUUCUAAUCUAUCACUAAAUACCAUAGAGGAUAAAAGCAGUCCUUUACGCGAUAACAAUGGUGUCGGCGCGGUCAUAGUUCAAGCAUGGUUGCGAAGGCCAGUCAGGGUGAGGCUGCGGUUGUGCCGCUCCGGUGGCGGAGCACGCUCGAACUAUAUGUCGUAUCGCGGAGAGGAGAAAAAGUCGCAUCUAGAAGAGGCGCUGGUGGCGGUUUCUCCGUUUCUGGUUCGGUACGGCCGAGAGUACCGCUUCGCUCGCAGCAGCCUCGCCACACGCUAGGCGGCCCUCGAGGUGGCCGCGUCCUUCGAGCGGCGGCGCGGGUUUCCGCCUUCGCCCUAGUAGUCGUUCCGGCGCAGCUAGGUCUCGUGCAGCAGGCGCGUGCACUGGCUCUUCGGUAGCAGGGACGUGCGCGGGCGGAUGCGUGGCUGCCGCUGCCCUCUCCAGUGGUUCUCGUUCUCCUCCACGUGGCGGGGCCGGCGCGGCCGAGGUAGAGGUCGACGGUGAUACCCGUACCUCUGCAGCUGGGUUGUCUGCUCUAGUUCCCGUCUCGUUCACUUCUUCUUCUUCUACGGUAGAAGCAGCCAGGCCCACUUUUUCCCGUACUGCCACUUCCACGCGUGCGCGCGGCCCCAGGACGGCUGCCCCGUGACGGAGGACGAGACCGAGCGGCGGGCGCAGCAGAGGCUGCGUCGUCGUCUACUGCCGAAGGAGGUUCACUAGAUGUUGCCGUUGAAGGGGGCGCUGCUGGGGGAGGCUUGGCACGCGCAGCGGUACCUGCUGCAGUCCUCGUACGGGCGGCAGCAGCUCUCAAUC